GACGAACGCUGGCGGCGUGCUUAACACAUGCAAGUCGAACGGAAAGGCCCUGCUUUUGUGGGGUGCUCGAGUGGCGAACGGGUGAGUAACCCGUGAGUAACCUGCCCUUGACUUUGGGAUAACUUCAGGAAACUGGGGCUAAUACCGGAUAGGAGCUCCUGCUGCAUGGUGGGGGUUGGAAAGUUUCGGCGGUUGGGGAUGGACUCGCGGCUUAUCAGCUUGUUGGUGGGGUAGUGGCUUACCAAGGCUUUGACGGGUAGCCGGCCUGGGAGGGUGACCGGCCACAUUGGGACUGAGAUACGGCCCAGACUCCUACGGGAGGCAGCGGUGGGGAAUAUUGCACAAUGGGCGGAAGCCUGAUGCAGCAACGCCGCGUGCGGGAUGACGGCCUUCGGGUUGGAAACCGCUUUCGCCUGUGACGAAGCGUGAGUGACGGUAAUGGGUAAAGAAGCACCGGCUAACUACGUG
rnacentral:rRNA from 1 species